AAACUCAAAGGAAUUGACGGGGGCCCGCACAAGCGGUGGAGCAUGUGGUUCAAUUCGACGCAACGCGAAGAACCUUACCCAGGCUUGAAGAGCGAGUGACCAACUCCGAAAGGGGUCUUCCGCAAGGACACUCGUAGAGGUGCUGCAUGGCUGUCGUCAGCUCGUGUCGUGAGAUGUUGGGUUAAGUCCCGCAACGAGCGCAACCCUUGUCUGCUGUUGCCAUCACGUGAUGGUGGGCACUCUGCAGAGACUGCCGGUGAUAAACCGGAGGAAGGUGGGGAUGACGUCAAGUCAGCAUGGCCUUUAUGUCUGGGGCUACACACGUGCUACAAUGGCCGAUACAAACCGUCGCAAAACCGCAAGGUGGAGCUAAUCGGAGAAAGUCGGUCUCAGUUCGGAUAGCAGGCUGCAACUCGCCUGCUUGAAGUUGGAAUCGCUAGUAAUCGCGGAUCAGCACGCCGCGGUGAAUACGUUCCCGGGCCUUGUACACACCGCCCGUC
rnacentral:rRNA from 1 species